CGCGUAGGUGGUUGGGUAAGUCAAAUGUGAAAGCCCCGGGCUUAACCUGGGAAUUGCAUUCGAUACUGCUUAACUAGAGUGUGGGAGAGGGAAGUGGAAUUUCCGGUGUAGCGGUGAAAUGCGUAGAUAUCGGAAGGAACACCAGUGGCGAAGGCGACUUCCUGGCCCAACACUGACACUGAGGCGCGAAAGCGUGGGGAGCAAACA
rnacentral:rRNA from 1 species